rnacentral:rRNA from 1 species
UACGGGGGGAGCAAGCGUUGUUCGGAUUUACUGGGCGUAAAGGGCGCGUAGGCGGCCACUGCAAGUCAGUUGUGAAAUCUCCGGGCUUAACCCGGAAAGGUCAACUGAUACUGCAGGGCUAGAGUGCAGAAGGGGCAACUGGAAUUCUCGGUGUAGCGGUGAAAUGCGUAGAUAUCGAGAGGAACACCUGCGGCGAAGGCGGGUUGCUGGGCUGACACUGACGCUGAGGCGCGAAAGCUAGGGGAGCGAACGGG